rnacentral:rRNA from 1 species
CCCUUAGAUGUUCUGGGCCGCACGCGUGCUACACUGAGUGGAUCAGCGGGUCAGGUUGCGCGAAAGUGUUUCCUAAUCUUGAAAUCCGCUCGUGAUGGGGAUUGACGGUUGCAAUUUUCCGUCAUGAACGAGGAAUACCUUGUAAGCGCGGGUCAUCAUCCCGCGCUGAAUACGUCCCUGCCCUUUGUACACACCGCCCGUCGCUCCUACCGAUUGAGUGGUCCGGUGAGGCUUUGGGAUCUGAGCAAAAAGAGCGUUUCGCUCGUUUGGCUCAGAAAACUCAGUCGAACCUUAUCAUUUAGAGGAAGGAGAAGUCGUAACA